AGGCAGCAGUUAGGAUCUUGGGCAAUGGGCGAAAGCCUGACCCAGCAACGCCGCGUGGGUGACGAAGGCCUUCGGGUCGUAAAGCCCUUUUGCACGGGAAGAUGAUGACGGUACCGUGCGAAUAAGCCCCGGCUAACUACGUGCCAGCAGCCGCGGUAAUACGUAGGGGGCGAGCGUUGUCCGGAUUUAUUGGGCGUAAAAGGCUUGUAGGUGGCCACGCCAAGUCGGAUGUGAAAUCUCCCGGCUCAACUGGGAGGGGUCAUUCGAUACUGGCGGGCUCGAGGCCGGUAGGGGGAAGCGGAAUUCCCGGUGUAGUGGUGGAAUGCGUAGAUAUCGGGAGGAACACCAGUGGCGAAGGCGGCUUCCUGGACCGGUUCUGACACUGAGGAGCGAAAGCGUGGGGAGCGAUCCGGAUUAGAUACCCGGGUAGUCCACGCCGUAAACGGUGGGCACUAGAUGUCGGGGGUAUCGACCCCUCCGGUGUCGCAGCUAACGCAUUAAGUGCCCUGCCUGGGGAGUACGGCCGCAAGGCUA
rnacentral:rRNA from 1 species